UAAGGAAUAUUGGUCAAUGGACGCAAGUCUGAACCAGCCAUGCCGCGUGAAGGAUUAAGGCCCUCUGGGUUGUAAACUUCUUUUAUAGGGGAAGAAAUGUGACGGUUCUCCGUCACUUGACGGUACCCUGGGAAUAAGCACCGGCUAACUCCGUGCCAGCAGCCGCGGUAAUACGGAGGGUGCAAGCGUUAUCCGGAUUCACUGGGUUUAAAGGGUGCGUAGGUGGGCAGAUAAGUCAGUGGUGAAAUCUUCCGGCUUAACCGGGAAACUGCCGUUGAUACUAUUUGUCUUGAAUAUUGCGGAGGUCAGCGGAAUAUGUCAUGUAGCGGUGAAAUGCUUAGAUAGGACAUAGAACACCAAUUGCGAAGGCAGCUUACCACACAAUCAUUGACACUGAGGCACGAAAGCGUGGGUAGCGAACA
rnacentral:rRNA from 1 species